ensembl:snoRNA
AGCACAUGAUGGCCUUUUCUCACAGUGGUCAGUGGAUGCCACUGUGGGCAGUGCUGCUAUUGCCAAUGGCUUAGCAGAUGCCGGGCG